AAAUUAUUCUUAAUUUUUUAUACAGGAAAUAUAAUCGACGUGGAAAUGAAAAAGUUAGGAGAGAACAUGGUUAAAGAUUGUGCAGGGCUUCCAUUAGCCAUUGUUGUAUUGGGAGGAAUUUUGGCUACAAAGAAUAAUUCAUUAAACGAAUGGCAAAAGAUAUCUGACAAUUUAAAAUCAUACUUGAAGAGAGGCAAAAAUCAAGGACCAGAGGAUGUGUUAGCAUUAAGUUAUGAUGAUUUGCCUCCCUAUCUAAGACCAUGUUUCCUCUAUCUAAGCCUUUUUCCGGAGGAUUAUAUGAUAGAUGUGGAUAGAUUGAUUCAAUUAUGGGUUGCUGAAGGUAUUGUGUCAUCAAAGCAAGAAGAAAGAGACGGUGGGGAAAUUGCGGAAGAUGUGGCGGAAUCUUAUUUAAUGGAGCUUGUGGAAAGGUGCAUGAUUCAAGUACGAGAAAGAGAUGUGGCAACCUUAAAGGUCAAAACAAUUCAGAUGCAUGAUCUGAUGAGAGAUCUUUGCUUAUCAAAGGCAAAACAAGAAAAUUUUGUCUUCAUUGUCGAUCAAUCAAAUGCAUCUUCAUUAUCUAUGAUUCGGAAGGUCCGUAGGGUUUCUGUGCAUGAGUUUUUUUUUCAUACAAUGCAUUAAAAGUCCAAAUAUUCGGUCACUUUUGUUCUUCAAUGAGUUCUUUCCGGAGGAGGAAUUAGACAAAUCUUUUCCCUUGGAAGUGUUGAAUUCACUGUAUUUGAUUCUUAUGAUUUCGCGAGCUGGUAUGGGACUCCUUAAAAUUCGGGGAAUUUAGAGAUACAUGUUCAACAACUUCCAAUUGCUAAGAGCCCUAAACUAUGAGAGAACAACAGGUGAUCGUUUUGCAGGGUUUAAGUUACCUAGUGAUAUAGGUAAUCUCAUCCAUUUAAGAUUCUUGAGUCUAAAGGAUCUUGAGUUCUUAUGGCCAAAGUUGCCAUCAUCUCUAGGAAACUUAAGGUGCUUGCAAACCUUGGAUUUAAGAGUUGAUCGUGACAAAAUUCAUGUACCUAAUGUGAUAUGGAGGAUGGAGCAACUAAGACAUUUAUAUCUCCCUUCGAGAUGUGAAAGCAGUACUAAGUUGAAGUUGGGUACUUUGAGAAAACUCCUAACACUUGUGAACUUCAACACCAAGAAUUGUUAUCUGAAGGAUCUUAUCAACAUGACAAAUCUUAGAGAGUUGGGGAUAAAUUUGCCCUUCAAUAUUGAAAAUUUCAAUGAGGAGUUGGGCGAGAAUCCACCCAUAAUCGGAAGUAAAUAUCUUCAUUCCUUGUCUAUUAUUACCUCUGGGUACGAAUCAAUAGAUCCAAGACAUUUGGCCCAUCUCCUUUCAAAUUGUACAAGUAUUUGCAAGUUGAGUAUAGCAGCAGAGAUAAGUAAGUUACCAGAGUAUCACUACUUCUCUUCACAUCUCACUUACNNNNNNNNNNNNNNNNNNNNNNNNNNNNNNNNNNNNNNNNNNNNNNNNNNNNNNNNNNNNNNNNNNNNNNNNNNNNNNNNNNNNNNNNNNNNNNNNNNNNNNNNNNNNNNNNNNNNNNNNNNNNNNNNNNNNNNNNNNNNNNNNNNNNNNNNNNNNNNNNNNNNNNNNNNNNNNNNNNNNNNNNNNNNNNNNNNNNNNNNNNNNCUCUUCAGCGAUUGGAUAUCAGGCAUUGCCCAAGCUUGAAGAUGCUUCCAGAGGGAUUGAGCUCCAUUACAACCCUCAAAGAACUGAAGAUUGAAUCAAUGCCAAAGGCAUUCAAAGAAAGAUUGGAGAAAGGAGGAGAAGAUUUCUACAAAGUCGAACAUGUUCCUUCUAUCAUAUUCCAAAACAUCUGGUAGAUUGACUGAUAAUUGAGAGGUAAUUUCAUAACCUCUAGUUUAGGAAAUGAUUCCUACUUUCUUUGCUUCUUAUAUAUCUUUCGUUUUUGACAUUGUCUCACAUUCUCACUCCAUUUGUCAACACACCAAUGAAUAAUUACAUUUAUUAAAAGUUAAAGGAAGUCGGACAUUGAUCUUUUUAGUUUUGCUUUUCAGGUAAAGACGCCAUUUUUUCACCAGCUACUGCUAUUCACGGGAUCAAAUCUAGAUUUAAAACUCCUAUUAUAAGUGGCGUGUGAAAGUGUGUUAUAUUGUGAGAUUUGGAAUUAUCUUCUCGCUUGUUGACAUCAGACUGGUUGAAUGUUUGUUAUUUUCUUCAAAUUACAAUAAAAAGGUUGCAAGAUAAGGUACGGGAAGAAAGGGAGGUGUCUGGAUUAGCAAGGUACCAAACCCACAUAGCUUUGGUUUACGAUCACCAUUCCUAUCUUUAUUUGUUAGCUUUGCUUUCUCUUUUUAUUUUUUUCUUUUUUUAUCUGUACUUAAUGUAAUAUUAGAAGAGAAGGCAGGACCAUGCUUUUCUAGUUCCAUUGUAAAAUUCAUCACUUCGUUGUCAAUGUUCAUUUCUACUCUUCAGUUUUACUUAAAUAUAAUUGUUUGAUAUAUAUAUAUAUUUAUAUAUAUAUAUAUAUUUGAAUAUGGAUACACGAUAAGAGAAUAUAAUAUUUUUAAUAUUUUCUGUCAUCCUUAACUCAAUAAUCUUUGUUAAGAUAUUAUACCAGGUUCAAUGGUUGCACUUCAUCCCACACUUUCAAAGCAAAAAAUAGGAAAAAUUAAAUAUUACCAACUAAUAACACUUCCAAAUUACAUUGUCUUACAAAAAAAAAAAAGAUACAAUUUGAAUUUUUUUAUCAACAUUUGAUGGUUUAGCAAGCUAUGCUUUAUAAAAGGCAAAGGAAUCUAAGGGAAAAAAAGAUUCCAAUUCAAGAUUUUGUAUCCCCAUGCUUUGCUUCUUAUAUCUACCAACAAUAUCUUGAUGAUAAUAAACUAAAAAAAAAAAAAAAUUCAAGGGAAUCAAAGAUUUCAAAUCCAACUUAAUCGAUUGAAAAUUUCACAUCCACUUAAUUAUUUCAAAUGAUAUUUAUUCAAUAAGUUUAAAUCAAAAACCACAAGAAUCCCCAUUUAUCUUUUAUUCAAAAUGUAAAUCGGAUUCAAUGAAAAUAUUGAACAUAUAAUGUGUGCACAUGGAAAUGUCCAAAUCUUUAAAUAUAGGGUCGACAUGGGAGAAAUCUCCUAAAGAUUUAUAAAAUUCAAUAUGAUCCUAUUAUUUUCGUUAUAAAACUCAAUAUCUUAUUCGGAUUAGGAUACGAGCGAAUAACAGAUAACUAUUUGUAGUUCAAGGUGUGAUAAAAUCUCAGUAGCUAAGAUAUGAAUGUUGCAAAAUACCAUACAAAAUCACAGCCACAUUUGUUAGUAUGACUAUUUUGGGUAAUCAAAGGAAAAAAAUGUUAGCUGUUGAGCAAACAAGGUGAACAGAUUAGAUAUUCCAAUUACGUUCAAGCACUUGACAAAUCCUUUCUGCAAUGGCUUCAGCACGCAUCCUAGGACCUUCAUCAGCUGCAAAAACCGACCAUUUCUAACAACUAAGCUAACAUCACACAUGAUAAUAUAUGUAUAUAACUUAUAUAGAAGAUGAUUAUGUGGAUUAAAAGCUAUGCUAGUUUGACUCAAUACAUGACCAUGGGACAUGCUCGAUUCAUCAAUAACGAUAUGAAAAUACUUGGAAGAAAAAUUAAAUACAUCAAUAUCUAACAUUUACAUCUGAGUUCGAGUAAAGAAAACAUGUCAUUCAAUCUAAACAUGCAAAAUAUCCAAAACUCUUGAUGAGUGUUAGAUAAAAAUAUGUAGAAUGUACCCAAAAUACCCAUCUCGAACUCAGUAGAGAAAUAUCUAGCACUCAAAAGACACUACCUUCAACCAAGAACAAGCAAGUUUCUUCAAAGGCUUGAUAUACUUUCUUCACAGCCAUAUAUAUGUUCAUAUACCCAUAUUAAGGAUGAUUGUUUUGGCAAAGAGGAUGAAAAGAUAGAAAGAAAACCUUUAAUCCAAUGACAAUAUUUGAUUAUAACAACAUGACACAUAUAAUUGUGAUUAAAAUUGCGGUCACAAAUACGUUUGCAAUCACAUCAUGUUAAUGAAUACUAUUGCAAUCAAUUGCAAUAAAUAUCCACAACAACACGAGCCACAAUCCUAAAACAACAAAGAUAAUACAUUACAGCUGUUAAGGAAUUUUCAAUAACGUAUAUACCUGCAAGAUUUUCAGUGAUGACACAAUAAAAUUCACCACCAGACAACUUCCCAAUCUAAUGAAAUUUUCAAACAUAUCAUGUCAUAAGUUUCAAGAUCAACUGAAACAUGCGGAUACCAAGUAUGAUAAGAAAUUAAAUUAAGGAUUUUCUACUGCAAACCUACCACGAAAACAUAAUUUUUAUUAGGAUCAAAGGCAUAGCCCAUCAUGGCAGCAUUAUUGAGUCCAUUUUCAGAGGAAAAUCCUGAAACAUGUUACAGGCAAAUAUUAAGAAAAACAACGCACAAGCAUAAGUAUAAAAAACCUAGCAUGUAAGAAAUCAAUACUUGAAAGGACUAAAAUCACUGCUAACCUAAGACAUUGAAUCUAGCACCACUAGGAAACAUCCGAAAUGAUACUUGUCUUUCAAUGUUGAGAUACAUAGGUCCAAGUCUGCCAUGUUGCGCCAAACGGGAAUUCAUCAACCUCUUGAGAACCUAAAGGAUGAAAAGUUCCAGUCCAAGUUAUAUAUAUACAGACACACACACAGAUAGACAUGAAGAAAGUGGGUUAAUGGUGUAUUAUUUAAGUAAAGAAAAAGUUGAAAUCUUGAACCUCUAAAUAUUGGGUAACAGCGAGUGUUAAAAGUGCAUAAAGUUCUGCUAUUAUCUACAAGAAACAAUGGAGGAAUCACAUACAUUGUUUAUAUUCACUUUUGUUGCUACACAAGCAAGCUGAGUCCAUAAACAAAGGCAUAUCUUUUUCUCCGUUUUUAAAUGGUUUUCUUGUUUUUCGGCUGCUUUUUAUAUUAAGAGACAGAGAUUGUGAGACCUCGUCAUUCUCAAGGAGAAAGUGGUCAAGCAUGAAGAUGAUGGGAAGACCACGAGUCGAUGGUGGUCGAUCCAUGAGUUGAUUAUGAAUAGUUUCAUGUUAUUAAAUAAAAAUGUUAGCUAAAGUUAGUCGAACGCUGUGUUUUAGGGCCGAGGGUUUAAUGAAACUAUAAGUUUUGAUGUUGAAUAAAAAUGGUGCGUAUUGACUGUUUGUUACAGCUGCUCGAGGAACAGCCCUAUAACAGACUUUGUAGCUGCCAAUUCUCAGCCAUAAUAGAAACUGGCAUGGGAAAUGAGCAGAUAUGCCAUUUUGUGAAGGAAAUCAAUUCUUUCUUCUUCCUCGAUUCUCUUUCUCUUCUCUCUUUUUCUUUCUUCCUCUAUUCUGUUGAAAUUAUGCAUCACUUCACCAGCAUUCAUCAUUGUGGACGUAUCUGAUCUUCAGUCUCUGGUUUACUGCCCAUGUAAAGUUAUGGAAAGGAAUGCAAAUUUAAAAGGUUUUCUUGCUAUAGUCUAUGCAAUUUCAUGUGUGGGUGAAAGGAGAUGAAGAUUAAUAGAGUAAUAUUGAUAUACCAACAAUUCAUUAAUUGAAGUACUAUCAAUAUUAUCAACAAGUAACAGAAUUAAGUGAGUACACUAAUAUAGUCUAGAAAAACAAUUUAAUUAAUAAUACCAUAGGGAUGGCAACGGGGUUAAGUUGCUAUUGCUAUUCAUAUCCCUGCCGCUAGCUUUUGACGACUUCACCAAGUAAACUGCAAUCACAAUUGUUGUUCUUAUUACCUGCAAAAACACAGCCAACAAUCUGAAUCCAUAUCCCCAUUUUAGGAACAAAUGCAUGGUGUACCAUUUGUUUCGAAGCCAAAUCAAUUUUCUUAUUUUUUCUUGAAGUAAAACCUUAUCUGACACUUAUAUUCAACACAUAUUCAUGUAUUGGUAUGAAGAUAUGACACUCUUAUCCUAUACUCGUAUCCGUGCUCAGGUAACAUAAGCUGAACCCGCAAGAUAACUGAUUUAACAUCGCAUUGCUGCUAGCUAUUGAUGAUUCCACCAAGUAAACUGCAAUCACAAGUGUUGUUCUUAUUCCUUGCAAAAACACAGUCAACAAUCUGAAUCCACAUUCCCAUUUUCGGAACAAAACCAUGGCGUACCAUUUGUUUCAAAGCCCAAUCAACUUCCUUUACCAUCUUCCCCUUACAAAAACCAUGAAUCAACUUCUUGUAUGAAUCAAAACUAGGAUUAACCCUCUCGAAAACCAUUCUCCCUAUAAUCUCCUUUGCUUCCAUAAACCUCGCAGCAUCAAGCAAACCGUACAACACCUCUUGAUAAGACCCUGCAUUGGGAUAACACCCUUUCUUUUUCAUAAUUUCCAACAGCUUCACACCUUCAUCAGUCCUACCUUGUUUCCUAAGACCUGAGAUCAAGAUAUUAAAGCUAACAGCAUCAGCAUCGAUUCCUUCCGUUUCCAUCCUCCCCAUCAACUCAAAAGCUUCAUCAACCUUCCCCUUAUCGCACAACCCGUGCAUUAAAGUAGAAUAAGUUCUAACAUUAGGCUUACACCUUUGUUUAGGAAAUUCAUCGAGCAGUUGGAAUGCAAACUCUAAUUUCCCAUUUUCACACAACCCUUUAAUGAGAAUAUUCAGAGUACAAGCUUCGAUUUCAACACCCAAAUUGGGAGCUUUCCCAUAAACCUCGUGAACAACAUCAAAUAGUUUGUUCGAUACGAGUAAGCUCAAUACGAUAUUGAAGGUUUUAACACUAGGCCAAGUCCCAUAUUCUGGCAUGCUAAAAAGGAUCUCGAUUGCCCUUUUGAUUCGACCUCCGACAUGCCCAUACUUUUUAAUCACAUGCUGGAAGAAUUCAUCGGAUAAACGACAGGCUUUUUCACGUUUGAGCUUUUCCAUUAUAUUUUCAAUGGAAUCAAAAUCCUGGGCAUAUGCGAGCUUGUUGAUGAGCAAAGUGAAGAGAGGUUCAGUUGGUUUAUAAUCCUUGCGAGCUGAGUAUUGGGCUAGGACUGAAAUGAGAGAGUUUGGAUCUUUAAGAUUGUCAAAGAUUUUGAGGAUUUCGGUCGGGGAGAGCCAGUCUUUGUGGGUUAGUUUGAAAAGGGGAGGGGAAGUGGUGUGGGUUGGUUGAUGGUAGCUGGAAAGUGAGGAGAAAAACGAAAGGGAUUUAAGAGAUGAGAUUUUAGUGGUCAUUGGAUGUUGAAAAAGUGAGGGAAAAUUUUGGGGGUAAGAGCUUUUGACAGAAGAAAGAAGGGAACGUGAAAUCAUGCGUUUGGCCAUUGGAGAAUGUAGAAACUGGAGAGCUAAAAGCUUUGUGCUAUUCGCACUAUAAACAUAUAUAGGGUAAGGGACAGGCUUAAUACUUGUUUUGUCCCCUGUAAUAUAGUAAAAAAUCUCAUUUUGACCCUUUUCCUUUACUUUGUCUGUUUACUUUCAUUUCGUCCAUUGCCUGCUUACUUUCAUUUCGUCCAUCAUGUUAGUCUAUUGAUCAUUUCCGUAAAUCCCAUGUGUUAGGGUUCCUAUAUUAUAGUAUUCAUCCAUAUACUUUAACCCUCCACGUAGUCGCAAUCAAUUGGCUUAAAUGAUCGAGGAUCACUAUAGUAUAAGGACCAAACGUAAACAUGCACUAAUUUUUUUAUACAGAAAUGGUCAAAGGAUUAAAGUGAUAGAUGAAAUGAAAGUAAAGGGCGCAAAGUGAUUGGAAAAGUAGUAAAAUGUUGGAAAAUAUUAAGAGAUUGUAUGAUGCAAAACUUAAAUAAUUUAUCUACUGAAAUUUUGAGGUGUAUUAUUUCGAAGUAAUGAAUCAUUGUUAUUUACAACUAUAUAUUAUAUCUCUUUGAAAUGUACAAAUANNNNNNNNNNNNNNNNNNNNNNNNNNNNNNNNNNNNNNNNNNNNNNNNNNNNNNNNNNNNNNNNNNNNNNNNNNNNNNNNNNNNNNNNNNNNNNNNNNNNCUUCUUCUUCCCUUCAAGAAUUGGUUGGAUUUGGAGGUGCCUAUUGAAAGCCUGGUUGAAAAGGAAUCGAGUUUGGAAUGCCGAAAUGAUCGGAAGCCAUGCCAAUAUAGCAAUUGGAGAGAAAAGGAUCGAUCCCAUUCCGUAAUCAUAUGCCUUAGCUAGUACCUCAGUGAACUGCCAGAGUCCGGUGUUCUCAGUAAUUGGCCUCACAGCUUGAGCAACCUGAAGGGAACUAAAAUGUCAGAGGGAAUAAGGCAAAAGAUGCAAACUCUAGACAAAUACUAUAUGCUGGUCCUCUAAAUAUAUGAACAAAUUUAGAAAAGAACUUGGGUAUGCCCGUAUUUGAUACUUAUUCUUGAAUUCGAGUAACAUAGUCAACUAGACAUACCAAAAUCAGACCCCAUCCAGUCGGCAGAAAUGCAAGACAGCAGACAAGUAAAUCCUUGGACGACAGUUCACAGAUGACUGAGAGAGUGAUAACAAUGGCGAAAACACUUAGGAAGAGGAAUGCUUUAAAGAACCUAAACAUCAGAUGGUAACGAGCACUGAAGAGUUGCCUUCCAACGUUCACUGCCUGUAUGUCAUGUAGAGAUCAAGUUAUCCGUGCAGAAAAUUCAAGGCUACUUCGGAAUUUUCAAAAUAGAACUCAAUAUACUUGAGUAUUAUGAUACUUGAAUGAAUUUUACCUUGACCGUCAGGAAAACUGCAAGAAUCACAACCCAGGAAAGCAUAUAAACAAGGAAAUUUUUGCUCUGUUGGGAGAUGUCAAGAUGAUACACCAAGCCAUACUGAUACAAGAAAAACCGAAUCGAAAGAAGAAUUUCGAACAAUCUAGCACCAUAUCCUGAACGACGAAGGUGAGCUUGUUCAUCAUUCCACCAAGAUUGCCAACUCUUGUUUUGCUGAAUCCCAAUACCACCUUUCUCCUUGAUCCACUUAUUCCAGCCUUUCCAAUCAUCUACAAUCUUGUCCCAAUCGAACCCGGAAGGAUUAAACAAAAAUGGUGCAAAUAACCAAGUCAUGGUCAUGAACCAAACAGAGUACGUGAUUAAUACAUAUGCCAUGCUACUCUGGUAGGACCUCCGGAACAAAUCGUAAACCACUAACAGGAGCAACAGUUCAAAUCCUUUAACAAAGUGGCUUCGUGAAUACAAUCUGUAGUUCUCAGUAAAGCUGGCAUGAAACACCACAACCUUACGUCCGGUAGGUAUAUACUUAGCUCCGCCAUACAUAAUUGUCCGACCAAAAUGAUGGGUUUUUGUCCCAAGGGAAAAAGUGAAGAAAACAGCAGCAAACUGCAGUUGCAUAAGAACAAAAUCUUUAAGGGCCGUAAGAAAUCCCUUCUCAAGUCCGAUCUCCAUUACCAUCGGUAAGCCAGUUAAAAGACCAAGCUGAAUAAACGAUUGAGAAGCAAGAGCAGUUUCCAAUGAUUCAGUGUUUUUCAUUCUAGCCUCAAUGAGGAGUGCCUUUUCUAGUCCACUAAGAACAAGGUAUAGUUGUCCGUAGAGGAACACAUAAAUUCCGAGUACAGAAAUCUGGUUUUUUACAGAUCAUAAGACGGGAAAGGCAAAAAUCAGAAAAGCAUCAUACAGAGAUAAAUAGGAAUCGGAUCAGGUAACCUUGUUUAGUGUGAGAGAAUUACCAGGCUGCUGAAGUAAAAUCCAAUGGUUGUGAAAUAGCAAGAUAGCAUCCUAAAANNNNNNNNNNNNNNNNNNNNNNNNNNNNNNNNNNNNNNNNNNNNNNNNNNNNNNNNNNNNNNNNNNNNNNNNNNNNNNNNNNNNNNNNNNNNNNNNNNNNNNNNNNNNNNNNNNNNNNNNNNNNNNNNNNNNNNNNNNNNNNNNNNNNNNNNNNNNNNNNNNNNNNNNNNNNNNNNNNNNNNNNNNNNNNNNNNNNNNNNNNNNNNNNNNNNNNNNNNNNNNNNNNNNNNNNNNNNNNNNNNNNNNNNNNNNNNNNNNNNNNNNNNNNNNNNNNNNNNNNNNNNNNNNNNNNNNNNNNNNNNNNNNNNNNNNNNNNNNNNNNNNNNNNNNNNNNNNNNNNNNNNNNNNNNNNNNNNNNNNNNNNNNNNNNNNNNNNNNNNNNNNNNNNNNNNNNNNNNNNNNNNNNNNNNNNNNNNNNNNNNNNNNNNNNNNNNNNNNNNNNNNNNNNNNNNNNNNNNNNNNNNNNNNNNNNNNNNNNNNNNNNNNNNNNNNNNNNNNNNNNNNNNNNNNNNNNNNNNNNNNNNNNNNNNNNNNNNNNNNNNNNNNNNNNNNNNNNNNNNNNNNNNNNNNNNNNNNNNNNNNNNNNNNNNNNNNNNNNNNNNNNNNNNNNNNNNNNNNNNNNNNNNNNNNNNNNNNNNNNNNNNNNNNNNNNNNNNNNNNNNAAGGUCCUUACCAAACUUAAGGGCUGAAAGCAGCAAACGUUAUCUUGAAGGGGAAGGGAGGUUCUUAUUAAAGCAGUAGCAUGCGCUUCAAUGUAUACGAUAUCUUUUCGAAUUUCCUAAAAACUUAUGCGUGGAAAUGAAUUCAGCUUUGCAUCAGGAUCCUGAUCCAGAAUAUUGUGCAGCUUCUGGACGAAGGGUCAACUAUGAUAAAAACAAGUAGGACUAACUAGCCCAAAGAGCAUCAGGAUCCUGGACUAACUGUCAAGAUUGUUUUGCAAGUAGAGGAAGUCCUCCAAGCUUUUCAAUGGAUACGUCUCUCAUUUUCCUUCUGCUGAAUUCAUUUCCACGCAUAAGUUUUUAGGAAAUUCGAAAAGAUAUCGUAUACAUUGAAGCGCAUGCUACUGCUUUAAUAAGAACCUCCAUUCCCCUUCAAGAUAACGUUUGCUGCUUUCAGCCCUUAAGUUUGGUAAGGACCUUUAUAUAUAUAUAUAUAUGGUUAAAGUAAGGACCUUAUCUUUGAUAUGCCUCAAAGUUAAUGUUUUCGAAAGCCCCCACAAAGAAGGGACACCCAAGUAGGCGUCCGAAUUAUUUGCCACCUCUAAGGUAGUCUCUUCUUGAAUCAACCUUUCGUUGUCCCUUUGGGAGUAUUCACACUAAAAACGUUGCUUGAUUUAUCAUAGUUGACCCUUCGUCCAGAAGCUGCACAAUAUUCUUGAAUCAAGUUAAUCAUUCUCCUACAAUUUAAUGAACUAGCUUCCAAAAAGAAUAGAAAUCGUUCGUGAAUAACAAAUGUGACACUACUGGAUAAUGACUACNNNNNNNNNNNNNNNNNNNNNNNNNNNNNNNNNNNNNNNNNNNNNNNNNNNNNNNNNNNNNNNNNNNNNNNNNNNNNNNNNNNNNNNNNNNNNNNNNNNNAACUCCUUUCAAUAUAUUCACCAUGAUCUUCGAUAUGAUUUAAUACUUAAAAUUAUAAGGAAUAAUUGACCUAAUUAAAUUAUGUCAUUAAUUCAAGACAUUUAGUUUUCAGAAGUAAAAUUAUCUCAAUCUCGUUCGAAAAUUUCCCUUCCCUAAAAAAAAAACUCUUAAUAGCUUCCAAAACAUCCUUUUUAAUAAUUUCCCAAUAAUUAUGAUAGAAAAUCCCGUUAAAAUCAUCCACGAAAAAAGAGAUUAAUUUAAUUGUUUUGUAUGCUUAACUUGUACAAUAUAAGUAAAAUAUUAUAAUUUUAUCUCCAAAUUCUCUCAACACAUCUUUCUGACCCUUGUUUAUAAUCUCAUUUGUAUCUAGCAGGAUAUCCAAUUUAAAAUUAAAUAAUUUUUUUUAUAAUUCUUUAAAUAUUAAAAAUAUUUUCCUCUAUUAUUAUUUUUUGUUGUUGGAGUAUUAAAUAUUAGCCUUAAAACCAUAAGGCAUGAACUAUUCCAAACAACCCUUAAAAAGAUAUGUAAAUUUUGUUUUUGAAUAUCAUUUUUACUUUUUUAGGUUUCAAAUUGGAUAGUGAAUUAUAUAUUUAUUUAUUCGAAACUCCUCUUAAAUUAAUAAGAGUGAAGUUUCUUAUUUAGUAUUGAUUGUUCCAUAAAAUAUUCAAAGUUUUCAAAGUUUUCAAAUAGAUUUAUUUUUUUAAGUGUAGUUAAUAACCUCAAUAAAAAUUAAACUUUAUAAGUGAUGAAUUUAUAUUAAAAAUUGUUUGAUAAAUUCAUAAAAUAUAAGUUUGGGUUCAUCUACUUUUACAUUUCUUUUACCUAUUUAAAUUAUUUCUUAAUUUUUCUUAUUUUUUAAAAAAUUAUUCUUAAUUUUUUAUACAGGAAAAAUAAUCGACGAGGAAAUGAAAAAGUUAGGAGAGAACAUGGUUCAACAUUGUGCAGGGCUUCCAUUAGCCAUUGUUGUAUUGGGAGGAAUUUUAGCUACAAAGAAUAAUUCAUUAAACGAAUGGCGAAAGAUAUCUGACAAUGUAAAAUCCUACUUGAAGAAGGGCAAAAAUCAAAGACUAGAGGAUGUGUUAGCAUUAAGUUAUGAUGAUUUGCCUCCCUAUCUAAGACCAUGUUUCCUCUAUCUAAGCCAUUUUCCGGAGGAUUAUAUGAUAGAUGUGGAUAGAUUGAUUCAAUUAUGGGUUGCUGAAGGUAUUGUGUCAUCAAAGCAAGAAGAAAGAGAUGGUGGGGAAAUUGUGGAAGAUGUGGCGGAAUCUUAUUUAAUGGAGCUUGUGGAAAGGUGCAUGAUUCAAGUACGAGAAAGAGAUGUGGCAACCUUAAAGGUCAAAACAAUUCAGAUGCAUGAUCUGAUGAGAGAUCUUUGCUUAUCAAAAGCAAAACAAGAAAAUCUUGUCUUCAUUGUUGAUCGACCGAAUGCAUCUUCGUUAUCUAUGAUUCGGAAGGUUCAUAGGGUUUCUGUGCAUGAGUUUUUUUUCAUACAAUGCAUUAAAAGUCCAAAUAUUUAGUCACUUUUGUUCUUCAAUGAGUUCUUUCCGAAGGAGGCAAUUGAAAAAUCUUUGCCCUUGAAAGUGUUGAAUUACGUUGAAGAACAUGAAGAUGAUGAUUGUAAUCCACUAUUUUGGAUUCUUAUAACUUUGGCACGUUCUACAGGACGUCAUAAAAUUCACGAAAUUUGUAGAUACAUGUUCAACAACUUCAAAUUGCUAAGAGUCCUAAACUAUGAGAUAAGAACAAGAAGAACACGUGAUCUUUUUGGAGGGUGGAAGUUACCCAGUGAUAUAGGUAAUCUCGUCCAUUUAAGAUUCUUGAGUCUAAGGAAUUUUGAGUUCCAACGGUCAAAGUUGCCAUCAUCUCUAGGCAACUUAAGGUGCUUGCAAACCUUGGAUUUAAGAGUUGAUGACAGAAUUCAUGUACCUAAUGUGAAAUGGAGGAUGGAGCAACUAAGACAUUUAUAUCUCCCUUUGAGAUGUAAAAGCAGAACUAAGUUGAAGUUGGGUACUUUGACAAAACUCCUAACACUUGUGAACUUCAAGACCAAGAAUUGUUAUCUGAAGGAUCUUAUCAACAUGACAAAUCUUAGAGAGUUGGGGAUAAAUUUGCCCUUCAAUAUUGAAAAUUUCAAUGAGAAGGAGUUGGGCGAGAAUCCACCCAUAAUCGGAAGUAAAUAUCUUCAUUCCUUGUCUAUUACCUAUGAAGAAGGACUGAAAAUAUUUACUUUAUUUUCUAUUGAUGUCAUUAUGAAAUCCUGGUCAAAAAUAGAUCCAAGACAUUUGGCCCACCUCCUUUCAAAUUGUACUAGUAUUUGCAAGUUGAGUAUAACAAGAGUGAUAAGUGAGUUACCAGAGUAUCACUACUUCUCUUCCCAUCUCGCUUACAUACGGUUGAUAUGUUGUAAGUUUGAGGAAGAUCCAAUGCCAACACUAGAGAAGCUGCCUAACUUAAGGAUUCUUGAACUCAAAUAUACUUCAGAAGGAAAGGAAAUGUUUUGCUCUGCUCAGGGUUUUCCUAAACUUGAGUCUCUAAUCCUUGCGGAGCUCUACAAAUUGGAGGAGUGGAAGGUGGAUGAAGGAGCCAUGCCUUCUCUUCAGCGAUUGGAGAUUGAGGAAUGUGGAAACUUGAAGAUGCUUCCAGAGGGAUUGAGGUUCAUUACAACCCUCAAAGAACUGAAGCUUGAAUUAAUGCCAAAGGCAUUCAAAGAUAGAUUAGAGGAAGGAGGAGAAGAUUUCUGCAAAGUCAAACAUGUUCCUUCUGUCAUAUUCCAAAAAUGUGGCUAAUAGAUUGAAUGAUAAUUGAGAGGUAAUUUCAUAACCUCUGGUUUAGGAAAUGAUUCCUACUUUCUUUGCUUCUUAUAUAUCUUUUGUUUUUGACAAUGUCUCACAUUCUCACUCACUUUGUCAACACACCAAUGAAUAAUUACAUUUAUUGAAAGUCAAAGGAAGUGAGACAUUGAUAUUUUUAGUUUUUCUUUUCAGGUAAAGACGCCAUUUUUUCACCUGCUACUGCUAUUCACGGGAUCAAAUCUAGAUUUAAAACUCCUAUUAUAAGUGGCAUGUGAAAGUGUGUUAUAUGGUGAGAUUUGGAAUUAUGUUCUCUCUUGUAUAUAUCUGUGGUUGUUGACUGUUUGUUGUUUUCUUCAAAUUACAAUAAAACGGUUGCAAGAUAUGGUAUUGGAAGAAUGGGAGGUGUCUGGAUUAGCAAGGUACCAAACUCCUCCUCCAUUUCAAUUUCCUUCAAUCUAAUUUAAUUACACGUUCAUUUUUGUCUUUUAAAACAUAAAAUUGCAGAUAAGGAGACGUCACUGACCUUUGUUCCCACAUAGCUUUGGUUUGCGCCUUUGCGGUGACCAUUCCUAUAUUUAUUUGUUAGCUUUGCUUUCUCUGCUUGAGUCUUUCUCUUUUUUCUUUUUUCUUUUUUUUAUAUGCACUUAAUGUAAUAUUAGAAGCCAAGGCAGGACCAUGCUUUUCUAUUGUAAAAUUCAUCACUUUGUUGUCUAUGUUCAUUUCUACUUUUCAUUUGAUAUAUAUUUGAAUAUGGAGAAUAUAAUCUUUUUAAUAUAUACAUAUUUUAGAAAAAAAAUGAAUAUAUGUAUGUUUGACAUAUUUCCCGUUUCAACAUAUUUCCUUAUUUUAUGCAAGUCAAUUGGCAUUUAACCAAAUAAAUUUAAUUGCUUCAGUUUGAGUUAAAAUUAAAAUUUCAAAAUUAAAAAAAAAAUACAAAAAAUAAAGUUGACAAAUUCAAAAAUAUACAUAUUAAAAUUGAUCAAAUUAAAAGUGCACUGGCUAACCUUAAUUUUUUUGUUAAUCUUUCUUUUCGAUUAAUUAAAUGUCCAUGACGUAUAUUAUAUAUCUUAAUAUAUAAAUAUUUUUAAAAAAAUUAAAUAUAUGUAGGUUGGACACAUAUUCAAGUUUGAUAUUCGUCUUAAAUUCGUGCAAUACGGUUAAAUAUUGGUGAAUUAGUAGUUGAUGAAGUAUUAUAUACAUUCUUGGAAUAUUGCUCUAUUCAACGAAUUUAUUUCAGCUCCAUAUGCUUAAAACGCCUCCCAUUUCUAACAUAUUUCCUCAUUUUGGGUAACUCGAUUGGUAUACAAUGUAGUCUUUUUCAUUGUUUAGUAUCCUAAUCCUUAACUCAAUAAUCUUUGUUACAAUAGGGUUUAAUGAUUGCAAUUCAUCUCGAUGCUUCCGAAGCAAAAAAAAAAAAAAUCAAAUUUUACCGGUUAAUUACAUGUCAACACAUAUAAUCCACGAUAUGUUUAUCUGAAAGAUUAAAUAAGAUUAACUAAAUCACAAAGAAAAUAAACGAGUAAACAUAAUCUAGAAAUUCCAAAUUACAUUAUCUAACAAAAAUUCAAUAAGAAAUAAAUGGUUGCAUUUCAUUCUUUAGGGAUUUGCUCUUAUAUCUUCCAACAAUAGCUUGAUGAUAAUAAGCUGAAAAAGAAAAGGAGUCCAAGGGAAUUGAAGAUUCUUAAUUCAGCUAGCUUAAUUGAUUGAAUACUUCAAAUACACUUAAUUAAUACCAAUUAUAUUUAUCAAUAAAUCUAAAAUUUGAAUCCCUCAUUUGCAACCUAUUUUGUAAAAACUGCCAAAUGAAAUCAAAUUAUCUUGUUUCAAUUCUCUUCAAAUUUUAGUUUACAACUUCUAUUUUUGGGUUUCCAUUUGUUUCUACUUUUAAAGCAAACAUUGAUUCAAGAAAUAUUUAUUUCAUUUGGCUUAUUUUCUUUUCUAUUUUUAUGCUAUUCAGAUUCGAUGAAAUAUUGAACAUAAUAUGUGUGCAAGUUAGAUGUCCGAGUCUUGAAAUGUAAGAUCGAAACGGGAGAAAUAUCCUAAAACCCGAUGCUUAAAGAUUUAUAAAAUUUAGUAUAAUCAUGUUGUUUUCAUUAUUAUAAAACUCAAUGUUAAAAUGUCUAUGAUUUGAAUUAUGAUACAAGAGAAAAAUAGCUAACUAUUUUAAGUUCAAGGUGUGAGAAAACCUCAAUAUCUAAGAUAUGAAUGUUGUAAAGUACCACUCAAUCACAGCCACAUUUGUUAGUAUGACUACUUUGGAUGAAAAGUUCUAUUCCAAGUUAUAUAUACACACAGAAAUACACAUGAAGUGGAUUAAUGGUGUAUUAUUAAGUAAAGGAAAACGGUUCUAACUAAAAGAAAGAGUUGAAAUCUUGAACCUCCAAAUAUUGGGUAACCGCUGGUGUUAAAAAGUGCAUAAAGGUCCGCGCUUAUCUACAAGAAAUAAUGGAGGAAUCGCAUACGCUGUUUAUAUUCAUUUUUUUUGCUCCACAAGCAAUCCGAAACCAUAAACAAAGGAGUACUUUUUUGCCUUUUUUAAAUGGUUUUCUUGUUUCUUUUCCGCUUUUCAAAUUCUUCAUUCAAUUCAAGUUCAAGAAACCAUACUAAAUAUAUAUAUAUGUUUAUAUUCGCUUUUCUUGCUACACAAGCAAGCCAAAACCAUAAACAAAGGCAUGCAUUUUAUUUCCUUUUUUAAUGGUUUUCUUGAUUCUUUGUUGUUUUUAAAAUUCUUCAUUCAAUUCAAGUUCAAGAAACCAUACUAAAAUAUAUAUUUAUAUUCGCUUUUUUUGCUACACAAGCAAGCUGAAACCAUAAACAAAGGCAUACAUUUUUUCCUUUUUUAAAUGCAUUUUUUUUUUUGUUUCUUUGUUGUUUUUUAGAUUCUUCAUUCAAUUCAAGUUCAAGAAAUCAUACUAAUUAUAUAUGUUUAUAUUCACUUUUCUUGCUACAUAAGCAAGCCGAAACUAUAAACAAAGGCAUACCUUUUUUUCCCCUUUUUAUCUUGCUGCUUUUUAGAUUUUUCAUUCAAUUCAAGUUUAAGAAAUCAUACUAUAUAUAUACCAUACUAUAUAUAUAUAUAUGUUUAUAUUCACUUUUCUUGCUACACAAGUCAACUGAAACCAUAAACAAAGGCAUAACUUUUUCGCUUUUUUUAAAAUGAUUUUUUUUCUUUGCUACUUUUUUAAAUUUUUAUUCAAUUUAAGUUUAAAAAACCCUACUAAAUAUAUAUAUAUAUAUAUAUAUAUUAAGAGAGAGACAUCAUCAUCCUCAAGGAGUAAGUGGUUAAGCAUGAACUUGAUGGGAAGGCCACAAGUCGGUGGUGGUCAAAUCAUGAGUUGAUUAUGAUUAGUUUCAUGUUAUGGAAAAAAGAUGCUAGUUAAAAUUAGUUACUUGACCGUUGCAUUUUGAGGUUGAGAGUUUAAUGAAACGAUACGCUUUGAUGUUUAAUGAAAACGGUGCGUAUUGAAAGUUUGAUACAACUAAUCGAAUAACAAGCCUGUAACAACUUUGUAACUACCAAUUCCUCGCUUUAAAAAAAUAUUCCAAAUAUGUUUUCUCACCUUAUCAUUUUUGUUAUUUUUCAAGCCCCCUUACCAUUUUAUAUUUUUAAUGGGUAUAUUAUAAAAAUAGUCACCUAGGUAUUGCUUUCAUUCUAUUUUAUUCACUAAGUUAUUAAUUUUUUCGAUUUAAUUACUAAAUUUUUUUAAAUUAAAUAUUUUGAUCACUCUCCCAUUAGUUAUCAUUAGAUAAGUGAUAGGAAGUUAAUGUGGGCUUUUUUUAUUAGUCUAAUAACAAAUUUAGUCAUCUAAUGUUUACACAUUCUAUUAAAUUGAUUUUAAAUAUAAAAUGUUCAAUAGCUUUAAACCUAAAUGUUUACCAAAUCUAUUGUUAUAGUUCAAAUCCUAAAAAUUUCAAUAAAUUUAAUCCUCAAAAUUUGUAAAUUUAAUUUUAAUUCUAACUCAUGGAUGAAUUAAGCAAAUUAAAUCAAAUCAAAUCAAUCGAACAAAGAAUUUAAUUAAAAAGAAAUUCUUCACAUGCAUCAAGGAGGGACUUCCUCUGGUGGUAUCAAGGGGAUUGAUAGAAACAGCUCAGGCUCGAACAAGAACUUCACUGGGCUUAAGAUCAGGAACAGACACAUCGGAUCAAAGCUGCAACACCUCAGGUCCACCGAACCGAGGCAGCAACACCGCCCUGCAACUGUUGGCAUAGCACCGAAUUGAACCCACUUUCAAUGAUAUGAUAACUCCAUAAAGGGUUUGGGUUUUAAGCUUUGAAAGUUCCCCUUUUUCUUCUCAAAUUUUCUGAACUUCAGCUCCUUCCUUUUGUUAAAUGAAGGAAAAGCAAAGGAGAGACACCGAAGUGUUUUAAUCCACAUAGAAAAUAGUGAUUAUGUGACUUGUGAGUGUUGGCCUGGGGUCUUGGAAGAAGAAGAUGAAUAUUGCAUAAUCGAUUUUUAAUUGCUUACUACAUUCAUAAUUAAAUAAAUAAAAAUUUCUAACCUUAUCAAUUAAAUCAAGUUAGAAUGUUCAACUUGAUUUUUGUUUGUUAUAAGGAUCAUAUAUUAUAAAACUUAAUUUUAUUUUAAUAAUUAUAUAAUAUUAUUUUUAAUUAUAUCAUCUGAUACCAUCUUGAGGGCUAAAUUUAGAAUUAAAAUUAAAUUGACAAAUUUUAGAAAUUUUGAGCUUAAAUUUAUUUUUAUUUUUAGGAAUUUGAAAUAAAAUGAGAAAUUUUGUAAAUAUUGAGGAUUAAAUUUGUUGGAAAUUUUAUAUUUAGAAUCAAAUGGUAGAAUGUCUAAACAUUAGGGGGCUAAAUUUAUUAUUAGACCAAUAAAAACAAGUUCAUAUCAAUUUCCCGUCACUCAUCUAAUUGCAACUAAUGAGGAAGUGAUGAAAAUAUUUAACUUCUAAAAAUUUAAUGACUAAAUAAAAAAAUUAACAUUUAAGUGAUCAAAAUAGAAUGAAAUCAAUAAUUUGAUGAGCAUUUUUGUACUGUACCCUAUCUUAAUCCAUCUCACAACCAAAUUUCUCCGUCUUUGCCUAAGUUCUGUGUCUUUGUCAAAUUUUAAUAGAAUUAACAUUUUUAUUUAAAAAAUAUCUUUAAUCGUUUAAUAUAUUUUUAAUAAGUAAAUGUUAAUUCCGUUAAGGGUCAGUUUGUUUACACGUAAAAAGUUAAAAAUAAAAAUAUUGAGUUCUAUAAUAUGAGUCUAUUGAACCGAUUCAAUCAUAAAUUUUAUUAUUAUUGGUUUAUAUAAUGGUUUGAUUUUGAAAAUAUUUGGUUUAACAUUUAGUCAUCCCUUUGAUCAAUUUUAAAUUUUAGAAAUAAUUUUGUUUUUUGUUUACAUUUAAAUGUACAGUUUCUAAUGCAUAUGUGUUACAUUUGAUUUCAAGCCAUUAAUCCUUAAUUACUUUUUAAAAUAAUAGUUUCUUUUAGUUUUUAAAUAAUGUAUAAAUUUAUAAUUAUAUAAGAAAGUAAACUAUAAUAUUAAAUUUUUAAAAAUUAAGUAAAACAACAUGCAAUAAUUUUCAUAAUAAUUAAUGAUAAAUAAGAAAAAUAUUCACAAUUAUAAAACAAACCGUUUAAGAGUAUAUAAACUACUUAUACAAAAUUCUUUUAAAUCAAAGAUGAAAUUAUAUAUAUAUAAAUAACAAAUGAAAUUAUAUAUACAAAUUUAUAAGUGAAAAAUAUACAUAAUUAUAUUCAUAAAAAGUACAUAUGACAAUAUACAAACAAGGCUAUAAAGUAAUUCAUAGGAACAUGGCUUUCUUGUUAGUAUUCUCAUUCUUUUUUUAACAUACCUUUCUUGCUUGUGUUCUCAUUCUAUUAUGAAUAUACCUUUCUUGUUCGUAUUCUCGUUCUAUUGAUGAUUAAUGUUGCUUUAUAAUUGUUUAUAAAUUUAAUAGAACUAUAUAUUACUACUAAAAGUAUAAAAGGGCAAUGAUUUGCAAUUGUUUUUAUAAUUAAGUACUGGUUCUUGCAAUUGUUUUCCCAGCAAGAUUGCGGCACUCACAUCUUGAAAUCCAAAUUCAAGAUUUUAAAGAAUUUUCUGAGCUCGAUAGCUAUUAUGGCUUGGUCUGCUGUGACAUCUGCAGUGACAACAAUUGGCAACCUGCUAACUCAGGAAGCCAUAUACCUAUGGGGCGUGGAGGAGCAAGUUGAUCGUCUGCAAACAGAGCUCAAAUGGAUGCAAAGCUCCUUAAUGGUGGCAGAGACAAAACAAUCAACGGAUGAGAGGAUUCGUCUUUGGGUUGCUGAAAUCAGAGAGCUUGCUUAUGAUGCUGAGGAUAUUGUUGAGGAAUUUGCUCUCAAGAUUGGAUCCAAAAACAAAGGUGGCCUUCCGAGUUGUAUUAAAAGAUCAGCCUGCUGUUUGAAAGAGGGAUGGGUGCUCCAUGAAACCAGGUCAAAGAUCGAGAAAAUCAUAGAAAGAGUCAGCGACUUGGUCCGACGACUACAGGCCUACGGCGUAAAGGAAUUAAAUCCCAGAGGAGAAGGAUCAAGUUUUUCAACUGAAAUACGAGAAUCAAGGCGGCCUUAUCCACAUAUUAUGGAUGAUAAUAUUGUUGGACUAGUUGAUGAUACCAAGGGAUUGGUCGAAGUUCUUACGAAGGAAAGUGGAUGCAAGGUUGUUACAAUAUGGGGCAUGGGUGGUCUGGGAAAGACCACUCUCGCCAAGAAAAUAUAUCACCAUGGUGAGGUUAUUGAUUAUUUCGAUCACUUGGCUUUUGUAUAUGUUUCUCAACCAUGCCGGAAAAGAAAUGUUUGGGAAGACAUUUUAUCUGGUUUCAAAACUUUAGAUAAAGAGGACAGGAAGAUAACAGAUGCAGAAUUAGCAGGGAAGUUGAGUAAAACUUUGAAGGAUAAAAAGUGUCUGGUGAUACUUGAUGAUGUUUGGACCAGUGAAGCUUGGGAUAGUCUAAAACCUGCCUUUCCAGUUGAUAGCAAAAGCAAGAUAUUGCUCACCUCUAGAAACAGGGGGAUAGUUUCAUAUGCUGACAUAAAAGGUAAAAUUUUCUUAAUUAGGUAAAAUUGAAUACUCUUAUUCCUUUGAUGGAAAAUAACCAUGUAUAUUAUUUCAGAGUUGAAGUGCCUAAACGAUGAAGAAAGUUGGGAAUUGUUUCAAAAGAUUGUAUUUCCUCAAACAGGUAAAUAUACAUAUAGCAAAAUUCUUGUUAUACGCUAAAUUUAUUUUUCAUUUUUAAUUUUUUUGACAAUAAUUAAAUUUAAAAAUAUAUAAAAUCUAUUUUAUUUAAAAAUUUCAAAACCUUAAUAUGAAAUAAAUAAAAGAAAUCAAGGCUUUGUAGUUUAUCAGCUAAUGGUACACGCAAGUAAAUAUAAUUAAUAGGUAAAUUCAUUAUCUUUUAUAUUAUAUAUUUUUAAUAACUUUGCUAUUAGUUACCGAGAAUAAAUUAUAUUAGGAUCAUCUUAAAAAAAUAUAAAUUUUAGGCACCAAUAAAAUAAUGUUACAUCGUUAAAUUUUUAAGAUAACAAAGAAUUAUUAUACACUCAUUUAUAUUUAAUAUUUUCUCCAACUUAAUUUAACUUUAAUUAAAUUAUUUAAAAUAAUUAAUUUUUUAAAUUAUAGACAAACAUCUUUUCUUCUUUUACAAAAUUUAAUCAUUUUUUUAUAAGUUAAUAUUUUUUUUAUUUUUGUGCAACCAUUUUUUAAAAAAAUAGUAAUUUUUGUGCAAUAUUUUUCAUGUCAUUGACACAUAAUUUUGAUAAUUAUUUUAUCCUGAACCCAAAACCCCGAACCUUGAACUCGAACCCUAAACCCUGAACCUAAACCUUGAGCCCUGAAUCUCAUAAUUUAAGGUUUGGAUUCGAGAUUUAAAGCUCAGAAUUCGAAGUUCAAGUUUAAAGUUUAAGGGUUCAGGUGGGUUACGAGUUUAGGAUUCAUGGUUCAAGGGUUUGGGGUUGCAAGUUUGGAGUUUUAUGUUUUGGAUCUAGGUUUAGAAUUAUAGAUUUAGGGUUCAGGUAAAAAAUUUACCAAAAUUAUGUGUCAAUGACAUGGAAAAAAUUGUUGAAAUGUUAUUAAAUAAUUGGAAAGGGACCAUGAAUAAUGUGGUCAGAAGAGUCCAUAAAAUAAUUUCUCUAUGGAUGAGUGUAUAAUAAUUUAUGUCUUUAAAAUUUGAUGAUGUGACAAAAAAAAUUUAAUUUUUAGGAUCUUCCUAAUGUAAGUUAUUACCUUAUCUUAAUUAUUGGACUAUAUGCUUGUUUAGUUUCUUAAGCACUUUCAUGGUAUUCUUUUAUACGUUUAUCCUGGAUCCUUGCAUCAGAAAGAUUGAGGUGCAGGUAAACCAUUCUUAUCAAGAGUAAAGCCUAAGAAAGAUGUAGUUGAUUCGAACAACUAGCACAUCUCUUUAUGACCCUAUUUAGCAAACCAAUCCACUAACCUAUUGGCUUCUCGUCUGAUAACAUUGACUUUCAAAGAAGAAAGUUGCAUGACCAGCAUAUCAAAAACCUAAAGGACUAGCCUUAAUCUCCAUCUUCGAUCUUGACUUUUCUUCUUAAUGUUAGAAGCAAUAGUCUGGGAGUUAGUCUUGAUUGUCACAUUGGUCCAUUUGUUCUUCAUAGUUAAUUCAAUCCAUCCAACCAUAGCUUUAGCCUCGACAACCUUACAUGAAUCCACUUAAUCCUUUUACCAAUCCCAUCCAGAAUCUUCCCACUUAAAUUUCUGCCUAUUUCUCUAAUACCGGCACAAGCUAUUAAGGUGUCAAAUGCCCCAUCACAAUUAACUUUAACCCAACCUUCUGGUGAUUUCUCCCAAAUAUCAGCACAAGUAUUUGACUUCCUAGUUCGAUCAGAGUUAUUGUUUGAACAGAGGAUCCAUUGAGCAGAUAAGAAUUCAUUCAUGGAGCAAUUAAUCCUUCGAAUAAUUCUCUCCAAACCAAGUUUCACACCUCCGAUUGUAACCUCACACCUAGCUUUCCAGAUGUGGUAACAAGUGAAAACAAUUCUAACUUGAAAAUCCUCCCUCAUACAAGGCAUUUGUAACAACUUAGAGAACCAUCUGUCAAAUGAUUGAGUUUGAUCAUUUAGCCCUUAAAGACCAAAACAAGCAUCAUACUAUAUUCCCCUAACCCUAUUACAACUAAGAAUAAUAUGUUCAAAGUCUCAUCUUCAAUACCACAUAAACAACAAAUUGUGUUCGAAAAACAUUUUCUUUUCCUCGGAUUAAAACGAGAUGGAAUAGCAUUAUGACACAAUUUCCAUAAGAAAAUUUUAAUUUUUUUCAGUACCUGUAAGCUCCAAAUAGCUUUCUGAGUGCUCCUAUCAAUUAAGUGAGAGCUGGAAGAUUGUAAAGAAGACUCAUUUCCAUAGUGCUUUCUCAUCUCCUUAUACCCUGACUUCAUCAAAUAUUGACCAACAGCUGUAAACGGCCACACCAAUUUAUCUUGUUCAUCUGUUUCAUGAACGGGAACUGUUGGAAAUUGCCAAUCAUUCUGCUGUUACAUUUUUUGGUUGAAGUGCAUGCAGAAAAAAAAUGUUAGAAAUUUGCCAACCAUGCUGCUGUUACAUUUUUUGGUUGAAGUGCAUGCAGCUUGAUGACAUGUUGCAUGCACUUCAACCAAAAAAAUGUAACAGCAACAUGGUUGGCCAAUUUCCAACACUCCUCCUUGGACUCUAUGCUGCAAAUACCAGUCAUUCAUUAAGUUUUUGAACUUGGCAGUCCUUAGAUGCUUUGUUUCAAGCUAACUCUUCUCAAGCAAUUCAUUUUCAACAUUGGCUUCAUUCUCAACCAAAUCUGACUUACACACUUGACUAUACCACUCUUUUGUGCCAAAGAUUUGUCCAUCAAAUGGAGUAUUCUCCUCUUUCACAGCCUUGGUUGACAACUUGCCUUUAAACUCAUCUUUUCUUUCUUGCCUUGUCCCUUUACUCAUUACAAUCCUGUUUCUUCUUGCACAAACAGUUCAUGAGUAUAGUUUGCUUGCCUUCAGUCUGCCAUUUUGGCUUGCACCUACUCGAGCUUGCAUUUAAACUGUUUGCCACUUUGGCUUGCAAUUCGAUAAGCUCACACUUUGACAAGCUCACACUUUGCUUACUGUCUUCAACAGGCUCGCAACUUUACAACUCGCAUUGAGCUUCCACAUGUUGCUGAGCUCACACCCAAAGUUAAUGAUUUCGAAAGCCCCCACAAAGAAGGGACACCCAAGUAGACGUCCGCAUUAUUUACCACCUCUAUGUUAGUCUCUUCUUGAAUCAACCUUUCGUUGUCCCUUCGGGAGUAUUCACACUAAAAACGUUGCUUGAUUUAUCAUAAUUGACCCUUCGUCUAGAAGUUGCACAAUAUUCUUGAAUCAAGUUAAUCAUUCUCCUACAAUUUAACGAACUCACUUCCAAAAAGAAUAGAAAUCGUUCGUGAAUAACAAAUGUGACACUACUGGAUAAUAACUACUAAGGCUAAUCCAAGAAAUAAAACUAGACUCGACUCUAUUAAUAAUCACCACCCCUAGAACUCCUUUCAAUAUAUUCACCAUGAUCUUCGAUAUGAUUUAAUACUUAAAAUUACACAGACUAAUUGACCUAAAUUAUGUCAUUAAUUCAAAACAUUUAGUUUUCAGAAUUAAAAUUAUCUCAAUCUCAUUUGAAAAUUUCCCUUCCCUAAAAAAAAAAACUCUUAAUAGCUUCCAAAACAUCCUUUUUAAUAAUUUCCCAAUAAUUAUGAUAAAAAUUCUGCUAAAAUAUUCGCAAAAAAAAGAUAUUAAUUUAAUUGUUUUGUAUGCUUAACUUGUACAAUAUAAGUAAAAUCUUAUAAUUUUAUCUCCAAAUUCUCUUAACACAUCUUUCUGACCCUUAUUUAUAAUCUCAUUUGUAUCUAAGAGGAUAUUCAAUUUAAAAUUAAAUAAUCUUUCUUAUAUAAUUCUUUAAACAUUAAAAGUAUUUUCCUCUAUUUUUUUUUUUUUGGUUGGAGUAUUAAAUAUUAGCCUUAAAACCAUAAGGCAUGAACUAUUCCAAACAACCCUUAAAAAGAUAUGUAAAUUUUGUUUUUGAAUAUAUCAUUCUUACUUUUUUAGAUUUCAAAUUGGAUAGUGAAUUAUAUAUUUAUUUAUUUGAAACUCCUCUUAAAUUAAUGAGAGUGAAGUUUCUUAUUUAGAAUUGAUUGUUCUAUAAAGUAUUCAAAUUUUUCAAAUAGAUUUAUUUUUUCAAGUGUAGUUAAUAACCGCAAUAAAAACUAAAUUUUAUAAGUGAUGAAUUUAUAUUAAAAAUUGUUUGAUAAAUUCAUAAAAUAUAAGUUUGGAUUCAUCUACUUUUACAUUUUUUUUACCUAUUUAAAUUAGUUCUUAAUUUUCCUUAUUUUUAAAAAAUUUAUUCUUAAUUUUUUAUACAGAAAAUAUAAUCGACGUGGAAAUGAAAAAGUUAGGAGAGAAUAUGGUUAAACAUUGUGCAGGGCUUCCAUUAGCCAUUGUUGUAUUGGGAGGAAUUUUGGCUACAAAGAAUAAUUCAUUAAAUGAAUGGCGAAAGAUAUCUGACAAUAUAAAAUCAUACUUGAAGAAAGGCAAAAAUCAAAGACCAGAGGAUGUGUUAACAUUAAGUUAUGAUGAUUUGCCUCCCUAUCUAAGACCAUGUUUCCUCUAUCUAAGCCAUUUUCCGGAGGAUUAUAUGAUAGAUGUGGAUAGAUUGAUUCGAUUAUGGGUUGCUGAAGGUAUUGUGUCAUCAAAGCAAGAAGAAAGAGAUGAUGGGGAAAUUGCGGAAGAUGUGGCGGAAUCUUAUUUAAUGGAGCUUGUGGAAAGGUGCAUGAUUCAAGUACGAGAAAGAGAUGUGGCAACCUUAAAGGUCAAAACAAUUCAGAUGCAUGAUCUGAUGAGAGAUCUUUGCUUAUCAAAGGCAAAACAAGAAAAUUUUGUCUUCAUUGUUGAUCAAUCAAAUGCAUCUUCAUUAUCUAUGAUUCGGAACGUUCGAAGGGUUUCUGUGCAUGAGUUUUUUUCAUACAAUGCAUUAAAAGUCCAAAUAUUCGGUCACUUUUGUUCUUCAAUGAGUUUUUUCCGGAGGAGGCAUUAGAAAAAUCUUUGCCCUUGGAAGUGUUGAAUUACGUUGAAGAACAUGAAGAUGAAGUUUGUAAUCCACUUGUUUGGAUUCUUAUGAUUUCGCGAACUGGUACGAGCUUUCUUAAAGCUCGGGGAAUUUGGAGAUACAUGUUCAACAACUUCAAAUUGCUAAGAGCCCUAAACUAUGAGAGAACAACAUGUGAUCGUUUUGUAGGGUUUAAGUUACCCAGUGAUAUAGGUAAUCUCAUCCAUUUAAGAUUCUUGAGUCUAAAGGAUCUUGAGUUCACAUGGCCAAAGUUGCCAUCAUCUCUAGGCAACUUAAGGUGCUUGCAAACCUUGGAUUUAAGAGUUGAUAGUUACAAAAUUCAUGUACCUAAUGUGAUAUGGAGGAUGGAGCAACUAAGACAUUUAUAUCUCCCUUGGAGAUGUAAAAGCAGAACUAAGUUGAAGUUGGGUACUUUGAGAAAACUCCUAACACUUGUGAACUUCAACACCAAGAAUUGUUAUCUGAAGGAUCUUAUCAACAUGACAAAUCUUAGAGAGUUGGGGAUAAAUUUACCCUUCAAUUUUGAAAAUUUCAAUGAGAAGGAGUUGGGCGAGAAUCCAUUCAUAAUCGGAAGCAAAUAUCUUCAUUCCUUGUCUAUUAUUACCCGUAGGCUAAAGAUAUCAAUAGAUCCAAGACAUUUGGCCCACCUCCUUUCAACUUGUACAAGUAUUUGCAAGUUGAGUAUAGCAGCAGAGAUAAGUAAGUUACCAGAGUAUCACUACUUCUCUUCACAUCUCACUUACAUACGGUUGAGAUGGUGCAAGUUUGAGGAAGAUCCAAUGCCAACAC
rnacentral:lncRNA from 1 species